AGGCGCGUAGCUCAGUGGGAGAGCGCUACCUUGACAGGGUAGAUGUCGGCGGUUCAAUCCCGCCCGCGCCUACCA
rnacentral:tRNA from 1 species